rfam:Pan troglodytes isolate Yerkes chimp pedigree #C0471 (Clint) chromosome 12, whole genome shotgun sequence.
GCUGGGCGUGGUGGUGCACGCCUGUAGUCCUAGCUACUUGGGAGGCUGAGGCAGGAGAAUCGCUUGAACCUGGGAGGCAGAGGCUGCAGUGGGCUGAGAUCAUGCCACUGCACUCCAGCCUGGGCGACAGAGUGAGACUCAGUCUCAA